rnacentral:piRNA from 1 species
UGAACGAGUGGGACACGCAGAAUGUCAUCGU